AUUGAACGCUGGCGGCAGGCCUAACACAUGCAAGUCGAACGAGUGGCGGACGGGUGAGUAAUGUCUGGGAAACUGCCUGAUGGAGGGGGAUAAAUACUGGAAACGGUAGCUACUACCGCAUACCAUCAGAUGUGCCCAGAUGGGAUUAGCUUGUUGGUGGGGUAACGGCGCACCAAGGAGACGAUCCCUAGCGGGGCUGAGAGGAUGACCAGACACACGGGAACGUGGACACGGUCCAGAAUCCUACGUGAGGCAGCAGUGGGGAAUAUUGCACAAUGGGCGAAAGCCUGAUGCAGCCAUGCCGCGUGUAUGAAGAAGUCCUGCGGGUUGUAAAGUACUUUCAGCGGGGAGGCGUUACCCGCAGAAGAAGCACCGGCUAACUCCGUGCGAGCAGCCGCGGUAAUAC
rnacentral:rRNA from 1 species